AGAGAUCCACAAGGGAUGGUGGUAAGAGAUCCACAAGCUACGAUUAUUGAUAUUGUGAGGCUAAUAUUUCCAAUGAUGAUAUGGAAAAUGAGGAUAUAGAUGAACCAUUGUAUCAAGAAGACAUGCUAUCUAGAUCUAAUAAUUGGGCUAGCACGGUCAUAGGUAAUCUUAAAUAUACAUUUAUUGAGCAUUGUGAAAGAUGUGUGUAAAUGGGCUGCACUUUAUGUGUUCAGAAUUAUUUUUAGAUAUAAGCUUCAGCUACACAUUCUUAAAAAACAAAAAGAGCUACCAAUAACUAUUAAAAGAUGCUAAUUGCUUAGCAACAAAUUUAACUAUUGUUGUUUUGAAAUGGUUUUGCAAGCAUUAUGUCACCAACUAGUGAAGGAUAUACUGGCCAAGCAAGUCAACAGGGAUCUAUACAAUAUGGUGAUGGGGGAUCUGUAUUUGAUGGAUAUGGUAAUCGUGCAGCUAAUAUUUCCAAUCAUAAGGUCAAAGACGAGCUCAUGGAUGAUGAACUUUAUCAAGAACAUAUGUUUGGAUCUAAUAGGCCCAAGGGUGACAUGUAUAUUUAAGUAUCCAUUUUUCAAAUAUCCUUGAUGUCCUUUAGUAAAUUGUAAAGAAAAAACUGGACUUACAGGAUGAAAUAUUUUUAACAAAUAGGAAUGAUGAUGGGAAAAGAUUCCAGUGCGUACAAUUUCUAUCAUCUUAAUUAAAACCAUGGAUGAGAUUUCCUCAACUACAAAUUGCUUCUCUUUGCACUUGUAUGGAUUCUUCUAGGCGAUUGAACAUCACGAUGCUCUAGGUCAUAUUCUUGCUGCUUUGGAGUGGGAUAUUGUUGUUGGGGCCUAUUUCUAGGCUUUGAAGGUCCAAUCCGAUAAAAAAUGUUGACGGGCAUCUACUGGUCAGGUUCUUGUGCAUAUUCUGGGGGGAAGUUUCCAACCUCCUGUGCUAGGUUAUCUCCAGAUCUAGUUGGGGUAUAUCUUGAGGAUACAUCCAUGCCUACUUCCCUCUCAAUUGGGCUCGACUCCCUUGUUUGCUCUUGCUAAUAGCCUCGUGUCAUCCUUCUGAUAAAAUGUUUCGUAUUGAGGAACUUGAUAUCUUGCUUGCCCAUGCAUCUGUACAAGUAAUUGUUGCAUAUUAGCGUUCUGUUGGGCUAUGUUUCUUUGUUUUCUGCCUUUUCCUCCACCUCCCUCGCUAGACGAGCGGUAGUGUCGCCUCGUCGAUGCUGGUGGUGCGGUCAACGGGUGGUGACAUUUGUUUCGAAAGACUUCCUCUUUAGAAGCCUCAUGUUGAUAGCCUCUGCUUUGGGAGCCAUAAUGGCUGGAACUCAUG
rnacentral:lncRNA from 1 species